UAAGCGACUAAGCGUACACGGUGGAUGCCCUGGCAGUCAGAGGCGAUGAAGGACGUGCUAAUCUGCGAAAAGCGUCGGUAAGGUGAUAUGAACCGUUAUAACCGGCGAUGUCCGAAUGGGGAAACCCAGUGCAAUUCGUUGCACUAUCGUUAACUGAAUACAUAGGUUAACGAGGCGAACCGGGGGAACUGAAACAUCUAAGUACCCCGAGGAAAAGAAAUCAACCGAGAUUCCCCCAGUAGCGGCGAGCGAACGGGGAGCAGCCCAGAGUCUGAAUCAGCUUGUGUGUUAGUGGAACGGUCUGGAAAGUCCGACGGUACAGGGUGAUAGUCCCGUACACCAAAAUGCACAGGCUGUGAACUCGAAGAGUAGGGCGGGACACGUGGUAUCCUGUCUGAAUAUGGGGGGACCAUCCUCCAAGGCUAAAUACUCCUGACUGACCGAUAGUGAACCAGUACCGUGAGGGAAAGGCGAAAAGAACCCCGGCGAGGGGAGUGAAAAAGAACCUGAAACCGUGUACGUACAAGCAGUGGGAGCACCUUCGGGUGUGACUGCGUACCUUUUGUAUAAUGGGUCAGCGACUUAUAUUCUGUAGCAAGGUUAACCGUAUAGGGGAGCCGCAGGGAAACCGAGUCUUAACUGGGCGUUAAGUUGCAGGGUAUAGACCCGAAACCCGGUGAUCUAGCCAUGGGCAGGUUGAAGGUUGGGUAACACUAACUGGAGGACCGAACCGACUAAUGUUGAAAAAUUAGCGGAUGACUUGUGGCUGGGGGUGAAAGGCCAAUCAAACCGGGAGAUAGCUGGUUCUCCCCGAAAGCUAUUUAGGUAGCGCCUCGUGAACUCAUCUUCGGGGGUAGAGCACUGUUUCGGCUAGGGGGUCAUCCCGACUUACCAACCCGAUGCAAACUACGAAUACCGAAGAAUGUUAUCACGGGAGACACACGGCGGGUGCUAACGUCCGUCGUGAAGAGGGAAACAACCCAGACCGCCAGCUAAGGUCCCAAAGUCAUGGUUAAGUGGGAAACGAUGUGGGAAGGCACAGACAGCCAGGAUGUUGGCUUAGAAGCAGCCAUCAUUUAAAGAAAGCGUAAUAGCUCACUGGUCGAGUCGGCCUGCGCGGAAGAUGUAACGGGGCUAAACCAUGCACCGAAGCUGCGGCAGCGACACUAUGUGUUGUUGGGUAGGGGAGCGUUCUGUAAGCCUGCGAAGGUGUGCUGUGAGGCAUGCUGGAGGUAUCAGAAGUGCGAAUGCUGACAUAAGUAACGAUAAAGCGGGUGAAAAGCCCGCUCGCCGGAAGACCAAGGGUUCCUGUCCAACGUUAAUCGGGGCAGGGUGAGUCGACCCCUAAGGCGAGGCCGAAAGGCGUAGUCGAUGGGAAACAGGUUAAUAUUCCUGUACUUGGUGUUACUGCGAAGGGGGGACGGAGAAGGCUAUGUUAGCCGGGCGACGGUUGUCCCGGUUUAAGCAUGUAGGCUGAUUGUCCAGGCAAAUCCGGAUAAUCAAGGCUGAGGUGUGAUGACGAGGCACUACGGUGCUGAAGUAACAAAUGCCCUGCUUCCAGGAAAAGCCUCUAAGCAUCAGGUAACAUUAAAUCGUACCCCAAACCGACACAGGUGGUCAGGUAGAGAAUACCAAGGCGCUUGAGAGAACUCGGGUGAAGGAACUAGGCAAAAUGGUGCCGUAACUUCGGGAGAAGGCACGCUGGUGUGUAGGUGAAGUCCCUGCGGAUGGAGCUGAGACCAGUCGAAGAUACCAGCUGGCUGCAACUGUUUAUUAAAAACACAGCACUGUGCAAACACGAAAGUGGACGUAUACGGUGUGACGCCUGCCCGGUGCCGGAAGGUUAAUUGAUGGGGUUAUCCGUAAGGAGAAGCUCUUGAUCGAAGCCCCGGUAAACGGCGGCCGUAACUAUAACGGUCCUAAGGUAGCGAAAUUCCUUGUCGGGUAAGUUCCGACCUGCACGAAUGGCGUAAUGAUGGCCAGGCUGUCUCCACCCGAGACUCAGUGAAAUUGAACUCGCUGUGAAGAUGCAGUGUACCCGCGGCAAGACGGAAAGACCCCGUGAACCUUUACUAUAGCUUGACACUGAACAUUGAGCCUUGAUGUGUAGGAUAGGUGGGAGGCUUUGAAGCGUGGACGCCAGUCUGCGUGGAGCCAACCUUGAAAUACCACCCUUUAAUGUUUGAUGUUCUAACGUUGGCCCCUGACCGGGGUUGCGGACAGUGUCUGGUGGGUAGUUUGACUGGGGCGGUCUCCUCCCAAAGCGUAACGGAGGAGCACGAAGGUUAGCUAAUCCUGGUCGGACAUCAGGAGGUUAGUGCAAUGGCAUAAGCUAGCUUGACUGCGAGCGUGACGGCGCGAGCAGGUGCGAAAGCAGGUCAUAGUGAUCCGGUGGUUCUGAAUGGAAGGGCCAUCGCUCAACGGAUAAAAGGUACUCCGGGGAUAACAGGCUGAUACCGCCCAAGAGUUCAUAUCGACGGCGGUGUUUGGCACCUCGAUGUCGGCUCAUCACAUCCUGGGGCUGAAGUAGGUCCCAAGGGUAUGGCUGUUCGCCAUUUAAAGUGGUACGCGAGCUGGGUUUAGAACGUCGUGAGACAGUUCGGUCCCUAUCUGCCGUGGGCGCUGGAGAAUUGAGGGGGGCUGCUCCUAGUACGAGAGGACCGGAGUGGACGCAUCACUGGUGUUCGGGUUGUCAUGCCAAUGGCACUGCCCGGUAGCUAAAUGCGGAAGAGAUAAGUGCUGAAAGCAUCUAAGCACGAAACUUGCCCCGAGAUGAGUUCUCCCUGAGACUUUAAGUCUCCUGAAGGAACGUUGAAGACGACGACGUUGAUAGGCCGGGUGUGUAAGCGCAGCGAUGCGUUGAGCUAACCGGUACUAAUGAACCGUGAGGCUUAACCU
rnacentral:rRNA from 1 species